GGGAUUGUGGCUUAGUGGCAAAGCGCUUGCCUUGCAUGUGUGAGGCACUGGGUUUGAUUCUCAGCACCA
rnacentral:tRNA from 1 species